rnacentral:rRNA from 1 species
UACGUAUGGUGCAAGCGUUAUCCGGAUUUACUGGGCGUAAAGGGAGCGCAGGCGGCGCGCCAAGUCUGAUGUGAAACCCCGGGGCUCGACCCCGGGCAUGCAUUGGAAACUGGCGGGCUGGAGUGCCGGAGAGGUAAGCGGAAUUCCUAGUGUAGCAGUGAAAUGCGUAGAUAUUAGGAGGAACACCAGUGGCGAAGGCGGCUUACUGGACGGCAACUGACGCUGAGGCUCGAAAGCGUGGGGAGCAAACAGG